AUGUGGAGGACCAUCAUCACAAUCUCCUCCUCAUGAGAAACAUGAAAUGCCACCACAACCAAAACCGACACCAACUCCAACACCUCCCACACCAAAACCUCAACCUCCUAAAUCAAAACCUAAUCCUCCACCCACCCUAAAGAAGGCUUCUUCUCCUCCACCUUUGAAAUCAUCUCCACCACCACCACCACCUAUAGUACAUUCUCCACCAUCUCCCGUUCACUCCCCUCCACCACCACCUCCCGUCCACUCUCCACCACCAACUAUGGUACACUCUCCACCACCACCUAUCCACUCUCCUCCACCAACUAUAGUACAUUCUCCACCACCACCUGUCCACUCCUCACCACCACCUGUCCACUCUCCACCACCACCUCCCGUUCACUCUCCUCCACUGCCUAUAGUACAUUCUCCUCCACCACCUAUAGUACACUAUCCACCACCCCCCGUACACUCUCCACCGCCACCCGUCCACUCCCCACCACCACCUGCCCACUCUCCUCCACCACCUAUAGUACAUUCUCCACCACCACCGGUCCACUCCCCACCACCUCCUGUCCACUCUCCUCCACCCCCUAUAGUACACUCUCCACCACCACCUGUCCAUUCUCCUCCUCCACCACCCGUCCACUCCCCACCACCACCUGCCCAUUCUCCACCACCUAUAGUACAUUCUCCAUCACCACCCGUCCACUCUUCUCCGCCCCCUCCCGUCCACUCUCCACCACCACCCGUCCACUCGCCUCCUCCACCUGUUGUUCAUUCUCCACCACCACCCCCUCCCGUACACUCUCCACCACCACCCAUCCACUCUCCUCCACCACCUAUAGUACAUUCUUCACCACCACCCAUCCACUCCCCACCACUACGUCCCGUUCAUUCUCCUCCUCCACCACUGGUCCACUCUCCACCACCACCACUAAAAUCUCCACCACCACCAGCUUUUGAUGAUGUUGUCCUUCCACCAAAUAUUGGUUCAAUUUACGCAUCACCACCUCCACCAAUCUUCCAAGGAUAUUAAUUCAGGAAUGAAGCUUAAUUUGUCUCGUUCUAAUCUAUUUAGUACAUGAAUUAUUUAGUACAUGCAUGCAGAACUACAUCAUUGCAUCUCUUUAAUUUUAUGAUCAGAU
rnacentral:lncRNA from 1 species